UACGGGGGGGGCAAGCGUUGUUCGGAAUUACUGGGCGUAAAGGGCGCGUAGGCGGCCUACUAAGUCGGACGUGAAAUCCCUCGGCUCAACCGAGGAACUGCGUCUGAUACUGGAUGGCUUGAGAUUGGGAGAGGGAUGCGGAAUUCCAGGUGUAGCGGUGAAAUGCGUAGAUAUCAGGAAGAACACCCGUGGCGAAGGCGGCUUCUGGGACGGUACUGACGCUGAGACGCGAAAGCGUGGGGAGCGAACAGG
rnacentral:rRNA from 1 species